rnacentral:lncRNA from 1 species
UAUAUUACUGUUUUAUUGAUUAUGGGUGAGUGACUGAGAACCCGAUGUUGUAUGUUGUCUUGUUUGACAUAAAUUAUUGGUUUGCUUGUUUGUGUGUAAAUUGAUGGUGAUGACUGAGAAAAGGGGAAUGAAAGGUUAUGUAAAUUGAUAGUUGUAUAAUGUGGUCAGCCUGACUAGAUAUCUUGGGAGAUGGUGGACGGACC